rnacentral:rRNA from 1 species
GUUUAAUUCGAGUGCCAAGUAGGACUGUGUCAACUCCAUGUGUAGCGGUGAAAUGCGUAGAUAUAUGGAAGAACACCAGUGGCGAAGGCGGCUGUCUGGUCUGUAACUGACGCUGAGGCUCGAAAGUAUGGGUAGCAAACCGGAUUACAUACCCUGGUAGUCCAUGCCGUAAACGAUGAAUGCUAAGUGUUGGAAGGUUUCCUUC